rnacentral:rRNA from 1 species
UUUGUGUAGGAUAGGUGGGAGGCUUUGAAGUGAGGACGCUAGUUCUCAUGGAGCCGACGUUGAAAUACCACCCUGGUGCGUUUGAGGUUCUAACCCAGGUCCCUUAUCGGGAUCGGGGACAGUGCAUGGUAGGCAGUUUGACUGGGGCGGUCUCCUCCCAAAGUGUAACGGAGGAGUUCGAAGGUACGCUAGGUACGGUCGGACAUCGUGCUAAUAGUGAAAUGGCAUAAGCGUGCGUAACUGCGAGACUGACAAGUCGAGCAGAGACGAAAGUCGGUCAUAGUGAUCCGGUGGUUCUGUAUGGAAGGGCCAUCGCUCAACGGAUAAAAGGUACUCCGGGGAUAACAGGCUGAUACCGCCCAAGAGUUCAUAUCGACGGCGGUGUUUGGCACCUCGAUGUCGGCUCAUCUCAUCCUGGGGCUGAAGCAGGUCCCAAGGGUAUGGCUGUUCGCCAUUUAAAGAGGUACGCGAGCUGGGUUUAGAACGUCGUGAGACAGUUCGGUCCCUAUCUACCGUGGGCGUUGGAA